UCACAAUAACGAGUGGUCCAAACAUCUGACAUUUACACCAGAAUUUCCGAUAUGUUGGCAACUAGCUUUCCUUCCUUGGAUGUCUGAGUGA
ensembl:snoRNA SNORD14 Small nucleolar RNA SNORD14